rnacentral:rRNA from 1 species
GACGAACGCUGGCGGCGUGCCUAAUACAUGCAAGUAGAACGCUGAAGCUUGGUGCUUGCACCGAGCGGAUGAGUUGCGAACGGGUGAGUAACGCGUAGGUAACCUGCCUGGUAGCGGGGGAUAACUAUUGGAAACGAUAGCUAAUACCGCAUAAGAGUAGAUGUUGCAUGACAUUUGCUUAAAAGGUGCAAUUGCAUCACUACCAGAUGGACCUGCGUUGUAUUAGCUAGUUGGUGAGGUCACGGCUCACCAAGGCCACGAUACAUAGCCGACCUGAGAGGGUGAUCGGCCACGCUGGGACUGAGACACGGCCCAGACUCCUACGGGAGGCAGCAGUAGGGAAUCUUCGGCAAUGGACGGAAGUCUGACCGAGCAACGCCGCGGGAGUGAAGAAGGUUUUCGGAUCGUAAAGCUCUGUUGUAAGAGAAGAACGAGUGUGAGAGUGGAAAGUUCACACUGUGACGGUAUCUUACCAGAAAGGGACGGCUAACUACGUG